AUACUCACUUCGGCAGCACAUACACUAAAAUUGGAACGAUACAAAGAUUAGCAUGGCCCCUGAGCAAGGAAGAUAUGCAAAUUCGUGAAGUGUUCCCUAUUUAA